AACACAGCGCUGAUCUCGUCCUGGAUCUGGGUGAUCAGGAUCUGGGACAGCACAAUGCCCGCGAUCUGAGGGUGGGAAGAUGGCAUGGCAGAAAACACGCCAAUCAAUGUAUUCUAGGGGCACCAAUCAGCAGGAUAUGAUGAAGGAUGACUGCAUUUCAUAAGAGCCUCAAGCUGCAUGGGAAGACUAGGAGACUCCUCGGAGCUCCUGAAGAGGUUUUGGGGUGCUUCCCUGAACAGUGGUACCCAAGUGACUGCCGAGGUCCUAGUCUGACCAGGGAGCUGGGAGGCAAGAGGCAGGUCAGUGCUGACUGACGCUUGCGGUAUCUCACUGGGCUGGCUGACACUGUGUGUAAGGUGAGAGCUAAGGCCACAGGGUGCAACGAUAGGUCGAUGGCUACAGAGACAAUUGGGCGGAAUCUCGGUAUGGGCCAUAUGUCGGUCUUACCGACUGUAAACCAUGUCAUCAAGGGCCACUGGGGGUUCUCAGUUAGACAGA